rnacentral:lncRNA from 1 species
CUGGGCAACCCAGCCUCGACCACACUAGGUAUGGGCUGCCCAGAAGAGGAGCCACUCUGCCCAGGGUGGGCUGCAGAACCUGAUGGGCCAGAGUCCUGUCCUGGGAUUGUUCCAGAAAUCAAGGCUGUAGCUUGAGACUGGGGGCUUCCCCAGGUCUUCCACCCUGAGGGGAGAGCAGCUGGCCGUGGACACCACCCUCAGGGAGCUGAGAGGCCAGAGGUGGAGAGAGGCUGGGGGCCGGCUCUGCAGCCCCCAGGCCCCCACUGCAGCCCCCAGGCCACCCUUGGCUGCCGGCUUAGGGCCCUUGGCUUGCUCAGCCUAUCUUUAGCCACCAUGGCCUCGUAGGGUGCCCUGCAGCCCCUUCUUGGCCCAGGCGAGCCCUGGAGCAGUUCUUCACUUGGACAGGUGCAUGGUUUACGGUGAGGGAUUCAGCUUGCCAGAACCCGCAUGCCCCUUGGAAGCCCCUUUUUCUGCCCCCAGCAGCUCCACUCCCACCACCGCACCCACCCCAGCAGCUAGUCUAAAGCUCUCUGUCUCCAGGGAUGCUCCCAGCCCCCCUCCAGCAGAUGGCCUUUCUGGAAACACCCUUAGGCUGAGCCUCUGUCCACUCCACUGGUGUAACCAACAACAGGGAGCUCCCAAGGACCCCACAAAAAGGCAGACAUUGUAAGGGGGAAACUGAGGCCCAAAGUGUCCGGCAGCUUGCCCAGAUCCCACGGGCAGGGAGCAGGAGCCGGGAUUGGGCUCAUUCCUUCAGCUGGCAACCGUCCAUUUGUAGGGGCAGAGGCGGCAGGGACAUAGCCUCCUGCUUGGAGCUGGGAAGCGGGGGCGGUGAGGGGGACACAGAGGAAGACUACCCAGCUCCACCCAGGCCUGCCUGUGGGGGCACUUCCUGCGGGAUGCGGGGACUCUGAUGAGACCCAAAGGAGGAAUGAGAAAUGUGGGCAGAGCUGGAGCCGGCCAGGGAUGGGAUGAUCCCACAGGUGUGAGAGCAAGGGAGUGCCCUGUCCGCACCUCUGCUUUCUGGUGUCCCCACCAUACCUUUCUGUUACGUCCCUUCUCUCCUUCUGAGAGGCUGUCCCAUCCCAGCUGCACACCAUUCUCAUUGAAGUGAAAAGGCUGCCUCCCGACCCCAGCUGCCCAGGGCAGUCAUCCACACCCUGGCUCUGGGCCAUCCGCCCCUCUCGUGGUUCCUACGGUCCGUGUCCUCUGUGGCACCUCAAGUGCCCCCUGCCUGCCCCAGGGACAGCCACUCACUGGGCUCAGAGCCCCCUGACACACACACAGCAGGGGGCUUCGAGAGUCCAGGGAUGCCUCCUGGAGUCACGGCUCUGCCAAGCUCCCCAAAGUUGACUUGGUGGGGGAGCUGGCAUCCUGACUACAUGGCCGUGUUGACAGGACCAGCGAGCAGCCUCCUGGUAUCUGCUGUUAAUCCUCAUGACUGCUCUCAAACCUCUCAACUCUACUGAAGACACAGACACAGUCAUGCCCACAGCUCCACAGAGAGUUCCUACCUAAACACCCGUGCAACCAGCACGUGAUGAAGACACAGAUAUCACCAAGAACGGCUUGAUGCCUCCUACAGAAGUGUCCAUUGCAUGUUGGAAGUUCCUGAGCUGAACAGCAAGGUUGUUUGCCAUCUUCAUCUCCCUAGGCAAGACUGCCCUGGAAGAGCGAGUGAUGUGGAUGGAGACAGGGAAUACUGAGGUCUGCUGACGUCAGUCGAUGGCGGCCAUGUGGAUGGACGGCGGGCAUGUGGACGGACGGAGAACACCCAGCAUCAGCUGGCGCAGUGACAUCAAAGACUACGUUUCCUAGCCUCCCUCGCUGCCAGAUGUGGUCACAAGACUACGUUGGGCCCAGGAAAGAGGGAAGAUGGAGCAGGCGAACUGGGUGGGAAUUCCGGGAAUUCUCCACACAGGGGACGGGCCGUGCCCUGCUCUCCUUCGCUCCUUCCUCAUUCCUGGAACACAGAUGUGAAGGCUGGAGAUCAAGUUGCCAUCUGGGACCAUGAGUUAUAGAGCAAAGGCCCCCGACCCAACCCUGCCGCCGUCACCAGAGGAGCAGCCCCACAAGCCCCCACAGCGUGGUCACACCUGGCUUGGGGGACAGCCGCACCCCACAUGCAAGGGUCCAGACAGGCCAGGAGAACGGCUGGUGAACCCACCGGACAGCAGGGCGGUUUCUGGUGCACACAUCGGGAUGUGAAGUUGUACCCCAUGUCUGCAGCUUGGACCUCACCACUGCUGUGUCUGGGCCGCAGGGAGCUGUUCUGGCACGUGACUCAGCCGUGGGAUGUUCGGGUGACUUCCUGUCUGAAACCUGCUCUCCUGUUGGACCCCUCCCUGCAGCCUUUCCAGGACCCCUGUCCUGCCUUGCCUGUCUGGG